GCCUGCUUAGCUCAGUGGUUAGAGCGCUGGGGAAAUAUCAAUCCUAGUCGUCGUGUGUUCCCUAGUGACGCAAGUUCGAUUCUCGCAGUGGGCA